UAACAGGUUUGAUUUCUUAAAUAGAAGUUGCUUUUCUUCUUAGAUUAUUAAUUAUAUUUCAUUUGAAUACUUCAAUUGAUAGAUUUCAUGUUAUUUCCAUUUUUUAUGAUUUAUUCAUUAAUUAAAUUGGUGCCUUAAUCAUUUUGUUCAUUUUGGAGCCUAAAUAGAGCCAAUUUCACCUCCACUUAGUCACCACUUCAAGAGAGGUAACAUCUUUUGUUAUUUUAAAUCUCUUUUAUGUGCUCCAACGUGUUUUACGUGCAAUUACUUGUUUUGAGUGUUUUUCUUUUAUUUAUUAUUAUUUUUUUCUUUUCAUUAUUAUUAUUCAUUUUUAAUUUCAUUUUUAUUUUACUUAAUUUAAUUGUUGAUUAUUUGAAUGCCAAAUUGUAAUAGUUAGGUUAUUAUUUUUUAUUCUUUACCCCUUUAGAUUGUAGUUGGGGUCCUCGAAUGUAAUAGUUAGGUCUUUAUUCGCUUUUAUUUGUAUGUAUUUGCAUGCUCGUGUGCUUAUGUGUUUACUCACUUUCUUAGGAUCUUUGCAUCUAGAUAUCAUACUUACGUGUUAUGUGCUACGUGCUCUUAUGUGUUUAUUUAUUUUAAUUUAUUUUUUAUUUAUUUUACUGUGUAUUAUGAAUGCAUGACGUCACCACACUAGUCCAACGCUAGUUGUGGCUUUUCCCUCCAUUUACUUGCUAGUCUAACGCUAGUAAGGAUUUUUAGAAAUUGGCUAGUCCAACGCUAGGCCCUUAGAUUGUUUCUGCAUUAGAUAUAUUUUUGUGUGAUAUUCACUACAUUUUAUGCAUAUUUUUAUUUUAGGAUCUUUUAUCAUUUGCAUGAUAUUUCUAUUAUAUUAUCCUCUAUCGCUCCUACCCUCUAUAUGUGUUAAUCAUGUCAUUUAUAAUUGCAUCUCAUUUAAAAAAUUGUAAAAUAAGUUAGUUCAUUUGUGUGGUCAUAUUAGGAGAAUUAUUCAUUGAACAGGGGAAUGGGUGAUUAUGACUUUUUAGUUUAAAUACCCCAUUAAUCCCUGUAUAAGAAAGUUAUGUCACGAGGUUUUGUCCCCCGUACCCAUUAUGUUGCAUUCCUAUUCUUUGGUCACUUAUACCUAUAUGUAUAAUUUAACUUUCUUUUCUUUUAAUUUUAUCAUUCGCAUACUCGUGACCCCUUCGAGAAAUUAUUUUGGUUUUCGCAAUUAAUGCGAUUGGUAUCAAUUAAAUUCUUGAAUGAACAUUUUGUCCCUCUCGACAUUUGUAUUUGCAUCCAUGAAGGAAACAUCCAAAUGUGAUAAAUUUAAAAGUUAGAUUGAGAAAAUUUUGACUAAACCAUGCAAUUAGCUUAGAUUAGGUUGAAAGGGUGCCUUAGGUUUGAGUCAAUUGAACCUUUGUCUUCCCUUUUUUCAACCGUGACUCCCGAACUCAUUUUCUCUUAUUUUCAAAGACCUGGAGUUGUCUAAAAGGGUUUUAUUUUAUUUUUGUCAAAAAAUAUUUUUUGGGUGACUUGGUACACCGAAACUCAAUACCAAGUGACGACUCCUAAUUUUUCUUAAAAACCCUUUUUAGACUAAAUUUUGGACCCAAAUUGUCACAUUUUUCAAAGUCCCAUUCUGGGUCCUUUUUACUUUUUUUUUAAAAAAAUCACAUUUUUUAGAAACAUCAUUUUAUUUUCCAUCGCGAAAAAUGGGACGCGAUACCAUGUACAUUAAGUGUACACGUUGGAGGUGGUACCUUUGGAUUUGUUGAGAUGCUACUUGCAACCAUUGGACGAGCGGACGAGCGCGACGUUUGAACAAGGAUAGAAAAUUUUUGGCGGGAACUGUUCAUCGAAUCCCGCCGUGUAUCCAGCCAGUUCUUGGCCAGAUAUCUGGCCGGAUUAGCAAAGGAUUUUGAAAAUUUUUGGGUUGCUCGCUGCCUCGAAUCCGGCCAGCAAUCCGGCCGGAAAUCCUGCCAGAUCUUGGCGGGAUUGUGACGUGACCAUUUUCCGUUUGCGUUUUCGUUUUCAUUUUCAAUUCCGUUGAGGCGUUUAAUUGAAGUACCAUUGUACCUUACGGUUUAGAAAUCAUGUUUUCGACUUAGUAGUCUUCGAUUGGUUGUUUUCUUGGGGUUCGAUUGUGCACUAUGUAGGGUUUUUGUGAUUUGACUCCGUAGUCCCGACAAGAACUGGACAGGCGGUCUGCCGAACCCUUUGGUUCGCUGUAGGGGAAGGUGGGACUGUCACAAUCUCAAUCUGAUACUUGUAGGCCAAGAUAUUGCUAAAAUACCAAACUAUGUCAAUAUUGUCAAUCUCUUCUUGAUUUCAAUCAAUUCAUAAGAUACCAAAACCUACAAAAAUAACACAAAAUUGAACAUUAACCCUUUGCAUGUUUUGGUUAAGAAAUACUACUUUUAUGAAAAUUAAUUUAUAAAGGAAUUCAAUUCUUCCAUUUUAACCUAAAACACACCAAAAAUUUAUCAUAAAACCUAACUAGAAAUAGGCAAAAUAAAUGCUAAUCAAGGAGUCCAAGACAACAGCUAUAGUGGUCAAUGGGUCUACCAUUAACCGCAUUGCAUGCAAGCCUACUGAUUGCUCCAGUGCAAAUGAGGAGGAGGAAAUACAUCGCAUAGAGCAAGAAGUAGGUUCAUCAUUGCAGUCCUCUAGACCUUCCAUUCAUAAGUUGUUCCAAAUAGUGUUAGCUGAGGUCCGGGGUACCUGUGAGUCUAUAGAGUGCCUGGAGGGUCGAGUGAUAGGGUUGAAGGGUUGCUUAACGAGCAUUCUUGAGGAGCUAGCUACUUGGCGUCCAUAUCGGCAAGAUCCUCCUUGAUUUCUUUCUUUCUUUUUGUUGUUUUUAUUUUUGUUUUUUUGGGAUUGGAAGUGGUGUUCAUACUAUAGCAUUUAUUAUUCUUUCUUAGGGUUUUUGGUUGUGUAUUAACUCCUAUUUCUAGUUUCCUUGUUUCUUAUUGUUUUUGAAAGGUUUCCAUGGGGCUGUGCACUCAAUGGAUGCUUAUUGGUAGCAACAUUUCUCAGUUUUUGCUUCUUCGAGUUUUCGUACCAAGGGAGUUUCACUUUCGUCUCUUUGCUUGUUAUUAUUUAUUUAUUUUAUUCUCAACAUUGAGGACAAUAUUGUCUUAAGUGUGGAAGGGUGGUAAAAAUGUGAAGUGAAAUUUUUGGUGAAAUUUUUUGAAUUUUCUUAUUUUAUUCCCUAAAAGGCAAUAGCUGAUAUUUCAAGUUUUAUUAUUGUUAAGGCUUUGUAUAUAUGAAUGUGUUAAGUGUUGAAUAGUAUUGCUUUAAAGCACUUCUUUGGUGAAUAUUAAGUAUUUUGAAGCUUUUUUUUUUGGUUAAUUUUUCUAGGCAUUGUAAUUAUUUUUCUAGUAUUUUUUGUGAAUUUGUCCUAAUUAUUCAUCUUAGUUCUCUAUUGAUGUUGAAGAUCAAGGGCGCCCAUCAAUUUACAUGGACAAGAUUCCCGUUCCACUAGGUUCGAUUACACGCAUAAGGGCUAAGAGGCUUCGUGAGGAGUUGUAAGGACUGGUUCGAGUUGUCCAAGACCAUGGAACUAACCAAACAAGUGUUGAAGGACUUGACUUGUCCGAAUGGAAACUUGUCAACUUGGUUCGAGUCAAGGAGGAGUUGGAUUGAUCAAACUCAAGUCUUAAUUGCUUCAAGUUGGAAAUGGGGUUAGACGUGGGCACGUCUAACAUGCUUGUAGUCUUCUGGUUGCAUGGUUCGAAGUAGUUAUUUGGGUGUUUGAUUUAGUCCAAUUAGUUUCAUUAGUGGUACUUGAGUUGUUAUUAUUAUGAUAUUUUAGGUAGGUUUCUCAAGUUAUUGUUAGUUGAAUAAAUCCGGCCAGGUUGUUGCUUGACUAAGGCCGAAGCUAAUGUCCUAGUUUAGGUAGGAAUGGAUAGUUAGUUAAAGUUUCCUAGUAUUAUUAGAAAAACCGAUUGUAAGGCUUCAUAAAAUCCUAACUCUAGACAUUUGAACAAGAAGUCAGGUUAUAC
rnacentral:lncRNA from 1 species